rnacentral:lncRNA from 1 species
AGCCAAGAGAACUCCGUGGAGUAUGUCAAGCAGGAUCUUGCCUAAGAACACAGAUGUUUCCCUAGGAUCACCAGCUGUCAUGGACUGAUUUGUGUCUCUCCAAAUUCAUAUGUUGAAUACUUAACCUGCCAUGCGAUUGUGAUUGGAGAUAAUUCCUUUAGGGAAGCAAUGAAGGUUAAAUGAGGUCAUAGGUGGGAGCUUAAUCCAAUGGGACUGGGGUCCCUACAAGAAGAGGAAGACACCAGAGCUCUCUGUCUCCACACACAGAGAAAAGAGGCUGUAUGAGGACACAAGAGAAGGUAAUAGCUGUCUACAAACCAAGAAGAGAAGCCUCUCCAGAAAAUGAACCCUGCUGGAACUUGGUCUUGGACUUUCCAGCCUCCAGAACUGGGAGAAAAUAAAGUUCAAAAUAAAGUUCUGUUGUGUAA